rnacentral:tRNA from 1 species
GGGGAGAUGGCUCAUUGGUUAAGAGCACUGGCUGCUCUUCCAGAGGACCUGGGUUUGAUUCCCAGAACCCA